AAAUUGGCCCUUUUUAGGGCCACAAAGUAUUUCAUUACGAAGGAAU
rfam:Melipona quadrifasciata isolate 0111107301 unplaced genomic scaffold scaffold32, whole genome shotgun sequence.